rnacentral:rRNA from 1 species
GUUAUAUGGUCAAGCGAAUAAGCGCACACGGUGGAUGCCUUGGCGGUCAGAGGCGAUGAAGGACGUGGCAGCCUGCGAAAAGUAUCGGGGAGCUGGCAACAAGCUUUGAUCCGGUAAUGUCCGAAUGGGGAAACCCACCCGCUUGCGGGUAUCCUGCAGUGAAUACAUAGCUGCUGGAAGCGAACCUGGUGAACUGAAAUAUCUAAGUAACCAGAGGAAAAGAAAUCAACCGAGAUUCCGUAAGUAGCGACGAGCGAACGCGGACUAGCCCUUAAGCUGAUUUGGUUCUAGGAAAACGCUCUGGAAAGAGCGGCCAUAGAAGGUGAUAGCCCUGUAUCUGAAAGGGCCAUUUCAGUGAAGACGAGUAGGGCGGGGCACGUGAAACCCUGUCUGAACAUGGGGGGACCAUCCUCCAAGGCUAAAUACUACUGACCGACCGAUAGUGAACCAGUACCGUGAGGGAAAGGCGAAAAGAACCCCGGAGAGGGGAGUGAAAUAGAACCUGAAACCGUGUGCGUACAAGCAGUAGGAGCUCCGCAAGGAGUGACUGCGUACCUUUGUAUAAUGGGUCAGCGACUUACUGUUCGUGGCAAGCUUAACCGUAUAGGGGAGGCGAAGGGAAACCGAGUCUGAUAAGGGCGCAUAGUCGCGGGCAGUAGACCCGAAACCGGGUGAUCUAGUCAUGCCCAGGGUGAAGGUGCGGUAACACGCACUGGAGGCCCGAACCCACUCCGUUGCAAAGGUAGGGGAUGAGGUGUGAUUAGGAGUGAAAAGCUAAUCGAACCCGGAGAUAGCUGGUUCUCCUCGAAAGCUAUUUAGGUAGCGCCUCAUAUGUAUCCUCUCGGGGGUAGAGCACUGUUAUGGCUAGGGGGUCAUCGCGACUUACCAAACCAUUGCAAACUCCGAAUACCGAGACGGACUGUAUGGGAGACACACGGCGGGUGCUAACGUCCGUCGUGAAAAGGGAAACAACCCAGACCCACAGCUAAGGUCCCAAAUUUUGUGCUAAGUGGAAAACCAUGUGGAAAGGCACAGACAGCCAGGAGGUUGGCUUAGAAGCAGCCACCCUUUAAAGAAAGCGUAAUAGCUCACUGGUCGAGUCGGUCUGCGGGGAAGAUUUAACGGGGCUAAGCACAGAACCGAAGCUUGGGGUGCAUAACUUUGUUAUGCGCGGUAGAGGAGCGUUCCGUAAGCCGUUGAAGGUGGAUUGAGAAGUCUGCUGGAGGUAUCGGAAGUGCGAAUGCUGACAUGAGUAACGAUAAUGCGGGUGAAAAACCCGCACGCCGAAAGCCCAAGGUUUCCUUGCGCAACGUUAAUCGGCGCAGGGUGAGUCGGCCCCUAAGGCGAGGACGAAAGUCGUAGUCGAUGGGAAGCAGGUUAAUAUUCCUGCACCUCGCGUAAGUGCGAUGGAGGGACGGAGAAGGUUAGGUGUACCAGGCGUUGGUUGUCCUGGGGAAAGGCGGUAGGUUUGGAUCUUUGGCAAAUCCGGGAUCCUCUAAGACCGAGCACCGAGACGAGCCUUUAUGGCGAAGUCACUGAUACCACGCUUCCAGGAAAAGCUCCUAAGCUUCAGCUUACGCAGACCGUACCGUAAACCGACACAGGUGGGUAGGAUGAGAAUUCUCAGGCGCUUGAGAGAACUCGGGUGAAGGAACUAGGCAACAUGGCACCGUAACUUCGGGAGAAGGUGCACCCUUUUUGGUGGCUCGUGCGAGCUAUAGCUGAAGAGGGUCGCAGUAACCAGGCCGCUGCGACUGUUUAUCAAAAACACAGCACUCUGCAAACACGAAAGUGGACGUAUAGGGUGUGACGCCUGCCCGGUGCUGGAAGGUUAAUUGAUGGGGUCAGCCGCAAGGCGAAGCUCUUGAUCGAAGCCCCAGUAAACGGCGGCCGUAACUAUAACGGUCCUAAGGUAGCGAAAUUCCUUGUCGGGUAAGUUCCGACCUGCACGAAUGGCGUAACGACAGCGGCGCUGUCUCCACCCGAGACUCAGUGAAAUUGAAAUCGCUGUGAAGAUGCAGCGUUCCCGUGGCAAGACGGAAAGACCCCGUGAACCUUUACUAUAGCUUUACACUGAACGUUGAGUUCGUCUGUGUAGGAUAGGUGGGAGGCUAUGAAACCAUGGCGCUAGCUGUGGCGGAGCCAUCCUUGAAAUACCACCCUGUCGUGCUUGACGUUCUAACCUGGGCCCAUUAUCUGGGUCGGGGACCGUGUAUGGUGGGUAGUUUGACUGGGGCGGUCUCCUCCUAAAGAGUAACGGAGGAGCUCGAAGGUACGCUCAGCGCGGUCGGACAUCGCGCACUGUGUGCAAAGGCAUAAGCGUGCUUGACUGCAAGAUCGACGGAUCAAGCAGGUAGGAAACUAGGACUUAGUGAUCCGGUGGUUCUGUAUGGAAGGGCCAUCGCUCAACGGAUAAAAGGUACUCCGGGGAUAACAGGCUGAUACCGCCCAAGAGUUCAUAUCGACGGCGGUGUUUGGCACCUCGAUGUCGGCUCAUCACAUCCUGGGGCUGUAGUCGGUCCCAAGGGUAUGGCUGUUCGCCAUUUAAAGUGGUACGCGAGCUGGGUUCAGAACGUCGUGAGACAGUUCGGUCCCUAUCUGCCAUGGGCGUUGGAGAUUUGAGAGGGGCUGCUCCUAGUACGAGAGGACCGGAGUGGACGAACCUCUGGUGUUCCGGUUGUCACGCCAGUGGCAUUGCCGGGUAGCUAUGUUCGGAAGCGAUAACCGCUGAAAGCAUCUAAGCGGGAAGCGCGCCUCAAGAUGAGAUCUCCCGGGGCACAAGCCCCCUGAAGGAACCAUGUAGACUACGUGGUUGAUAGGUCAGGUGUGUAAGUACAGCAAUGUAUUGAGCUAACUGAUACUAAUGAUCCGAGAGGCUUGACCAUAUAACCU